AUAUAUUUAUUUCAAUAGUAAAAUCAAUUAUAUGUUUUAUGCACUUAUUAGUAAUUUUAUAUGUCAACAAUAAUAAUUAGACAAAAUUUUAAUGAAAACAUUGAUAUAAAUCAACUAUCAUUGACUAUAAAUUAUCAACUAUCGGCUGGUAUCCACCGGUUGCAUUCAAUAACUAAAUCAAACAGCCAUAAGUAGCUUACAUAUAGGGAUGCCAUUUUUACUCUUAUAGCUAUACUACGAGGACAUGAUCUAAUCUAUCAAAAUCUCUCAGACUCAAGCAAAAUUCAUAAAAAUUUGAAAAGAUCAUCACAAAAACAUCCACUCAAAUGACCCUAGAUAUCCAGCAGUUCAUAAAAUGAAAUCAUCAAUAACAAUUACCAACAUAUUGCUGCUUUUAGGUAGCUUCAUUCCAGUGUCAUAGUAUGACAUUCGCAGCAUAUAAUCCACAAGAAUCCGCUUCUAACGUUUGUUGCUCCAUUCUGAAAGAUUCUCUGCAUCUACUGAUUCUAAAUAGUCAAGUCGAGCGCGACACCUUUGUGCUUGCAAGUGCUCUGUUCUACUUCGUUCUUCCAGCUACAUGGCCAAAACACAUACUAAUCACCACAUAUAGAUCCAGUAGGCUUACUCAGUAACGAUAUCAUCAAAAUAUUUAAUUCUCACCCACAAACACACGAAAAUUAAAAAACAAAAAUAGAAUUUCUUGAAUUAGCUUAAAGAUUUUUAUUUAAGACCCAAAAUUCUAUUGAAUAAGUUAUGAAAAUUUCUUAUUAGCUUCAAGCAUUGUUAAGAACCUAUGAAGAUCAAUCUCUACUACUAUGUUAGCUGAAGACUUGAAUUGCACUCAAAUUGAACGAAACUGAUAAUUCUUCACUAGAAACAUGAAAUCAAAGGGCCACACGGCGUUGGAUUAGGUUUUUCUAUUGAUUUUUGAAGAUACCUUUCUUUUGAGUCCCUGCAAUCUAGCCACGAGAGAGGUAAGAUGCUGAAUGACGUCGUCUUUGGUCAUAUCUGAAUCAGCGGCGUCAAUGACGCCGGAUAUGACGGAAGAUACUUCCUUCUCGACGACACGGUGGUUAGCUCGGAUUGUUUUCUUGUAAUGUUCGAAGGGGACUCGCAAGAACUGAUGCUCCAGCUUUAGCGAUUCCGUCAGUUGCGUCAGUUUGGAGGACGGCGUUCUGUGGGUGGGGUUAAUUGGGUUGGUGGCGGCUGAGGCGGAGACGGCGAAGCUGCCGUUAGGGAGGGAAUCCAUUUGCAUCGCGAAGCGAAGGGAAGGGAAGGGAAGGGAAUUGAGGAUUUCUCUGGGGUGUUUUUUUU
rnacentral:misc_RNA from 1 species